UUUCAAAAACAAUUCAUCCCUGAAUUGGAAAACAACCUGAUCACAUUCUUAAGAGCAAACAAUAAAAUAAAAGGCAACAGGAGGAUUGAAGUCACUGAUUAAAUAACAAAUACAAUCAUAUUUGCAACUAUGCCUGACUAUUGCCUUAACAGGCAAUUGACCCAAAAUUCUCAUGGCAAGAGUCCAACAAAAGUACAAAUGGCUAAUUUUAUGCUUUCAUACAAUCCGAUCUAUUUAUAGAAACUGAUUUCUAUUACCAGAGUGACCACUAAAUGGUCCAAAUAAGAGUUAUCGGUUCUUAUUUGUUUGAUGUUACAAAGAGAUUAAGCAUAACCAAACUCCAAGAAAACUCAAUCAAUGGCAAGAACCCACCUAUGAUGUUGCCAAUGCCAAUAUACCAGCAGAUUUCUUCAUCUGAAAACAGAUUGUAGCUAGCUGUAGAAGCAUCAUCAUCAUCAUCAUCACUGCCUCCACAUAAGUCAAUGCGAGGGAACAAAAUUAUUAGCUCCUCUUGAAUUAGCAACAACAAGGAGACCAG
rnacentral:misc_RNA from 1 species